UACGUAGGGUGCAAGCGUUAAUCGGAAUUACUGGGCGUAAAGCGUGCGCAGGCGGUUCGGAAAGAAAGAUGUGAAAUCCCAGGGCUUAACCUUGGAACUGCAUUUUUAACUUGCCGGGCUAGAGUAUGUCAGAGGGGGGUAGAAUUCCGACGUGUAGCAGUGAAAUGCGUAGAGAUGUGGAGGAAUACCGAUGGCGAAGGCAGCCCCCUGGGAUAAUACUGACGCUCAUGCACGAAGCGUGGGGAGCAAACAGG
rnacentral:rRNA from 1 species